AGAGUUUGAUCAUGGCUCAGAACGAACGCUGGCGGCGUGGAUAAGACAUGCAAGUCGAGCGCUGAUUACAGGGUAGCAAUAUUCUGUGGUCGGAGCGGCGCAAGGGUGCGUAACACGUGGGCAAUCUGCCGCGAAGACCGGGACAACUUGCUGAAAGGCGAGCUAAUACCGGAUGUGAAAAUCGGGAGGCAUCUUUUGAUUUUCAAAGUUGGGGACCGCAAGGCCUGACGCUUCACGAUGAGCCCGCGGCCUAUCAGCUAGUUGGUGAGGUAACGGCCCACCAAGGCUAAGACGGGUAGCUGGUCUGAGAGGGACGACCAGCCACACUGGAACUGAGACACGGUCCAGACACCUACGGGUGGCAGCAGUCGAGAAUUUUUCACAAUGGGCGCAAGCCUGAUGGAGCGACGCCGCGUGGGGGAUGAAUGGCUUCGGCCCGUAAACCCCUGUCAUUUGCGAUCAACCGUUAUUAUUUAAAAGAUGAUAACCUGAUAGUAGCGAAAGAGGAAGGGACGGCUAACUCUGUGCCAGCAGCCGCGGUAAUACAGAGGUCCCGAGCGUUGUUCGGAUUCACUGGGCGUAAAGGGUGCGUAGGUGGUAGGGUAAGUCGGAUGUGAAAUCUCGGAGCUCAACUCCGAAACGGCAUUGGAAACUACCCAACUUGAGGGUCGGAGGGGGGACUGGAAUUCUCGGUGUAGCAGUGAAAUGCGUAGAUAUCGAGAGGGACACCAGUGGCGAAGGCGAGUCCCUGGACGACUCCUGACACUGAGGCACGAAAGCUAGGGGAGCAAACAGGAUUAGAUACCCUAGUAGUCC
rnacentral:rRNA from 1 species